AGCUCGGUAGCGCAACGGUAGCGCGUCUCUCCCAGGAGAGAAGUUCUCGGUUCGACUCCGAGUCGCACUA
rnacentral:tRNA from 1 species